GAUGUGGUGCCACAGAAUCCAUCCUCCAAAGUUGCCCCUUCCUCCAAGGGAACUGAUCUCUGCUGUCUGGUGGUCAGUUGUCAUUCCAGGAGAACUCCAAGCCCCAUUUCAUGGUUGGUAAACAGGAGCAGCAGUUUGGGGAGAUUGGUAGGUUGCAGCAG